rnacentral:rRNA from 1 species
UCCUACGGGGCGCAGCAGUGAGGAAUAUUGGUCAAUGGGCGAGAGCCUGAACCAGCCAAGUCGCGUGAAGGAUGACGGCCCUACGGGCUGUAAACUUCUUUUGUCAGGGAGCAAUUGGGUCCACGUGUGGGCUUAGCGAGAGUACCUGAAGAAAAAGCAUCGGCUAACUCCGUGCCAGCCGCCGCGGUAAUACGGAGGAUGCGAGCGUUAUCCGGAUUUAUUGGGUUUAAGGGGUGCGUAGGCGGAAUAUCAACUCAGCGGUAAAAAUUCGGGGCUCAACCCCGCCGUGCCGUUGAAACUGAUGU